ACUAAAAUGCAUGAAGAGAAAGUUUUGAUUUAUCCCCUCGCAUGUUUCACCCCCCAAAUUCAGGAAUUAGCUGCGAUUGUCCAGAUCGUGAGGAGACCGCCUUCUGUUAUCACAAUGCUCAAUGCUUCCAUGGCUUACAGAGACUCCUCUCACGCUCCAAAUUAGCAGAUUUGUUCUAUUUCCGCAAGAUGAAUGAGGCAGUAUGUAACUGCAUUUUCCUGAAUUUCACUUGGUGAAAAUGAGAUCAAUUGCUCAACUGCUGCUGAAAGGAGAUUGCAGAAUUACUAGUGAAGAUACAUAAAUAGUACAGCCUCUCUUUAAGUGUACUUUGCCUUCACGGGGAGGCACUUAAUUUCGCACAUGGAGCUAGCGGGAGCUGUUUACGUCUUCUAGGCCAAUCUUUUCUGGGCUGAGUAAAGCGCCGAGCUCAGCCGAAAAUUGAUAUCAGGCUAAAAUGCGCAGUGCAAAGAAAGUGGACUCUUGACCAUAGCUGGAGCCUGGAGCUACCCAUUCUCAUUUCCUAAGUUGGACAAGGCAUUGGCUCUGUGUAAUAAAAUCCAUAUCCUUUAUCAUCAAUUAGUUCCACUUUCAUCAACAAAGGGUGAUCUAGUCUUAGGUACCGUCAAUUACAUAUUGUGUUAACUUCGAUCUGGAACUUUAUCUUAAAACAGGGAUAGAAGAUUUCAGAGUUUGGAUAUGCAAAAUUUACUAAGACAUGAAUCCAUAUAUUCCAUAUCUGGAGGGUUGCUGCUAGUUUUCGUUAACGUGUGCUUGUUAAUCUUUUCAAAACUGGAGGGUCCUUGAGAGUUGGCGGGGUUAACUUCAACUUCUACCUGCUCAAGCCAUUAAGCUUCUGGAUUGUCAUCAUUCCAAGCCUCCUGGUGGCAAGGGGUCUCAGUGAUCACACAGAAUGCACCUGUGGAGGUUCUUGUAACCAUAACGGAGCUCGUCUUUUGCUCUCUCCCCUGAAUUAUGGAGCAGCAUGGAAGGCAAAGUUGACUACAGUUUUCCCUAGUUAUUCGGUGCAAGAUUCUCUCACUCCUGCAUGCAUGAUGUUGAAUUCGGAACUCAAUCUAAGAAAAAAAUUUCAUGAUUUGUGUCCAGGCACACCAUUUCCUUUCAGUUAGCAUAUCGGUUCCAGUUGAACUAACGCACUGCUCUGUUUCAAGGAGAAGCUCACCCCCUUACCGAGUAAGCUAUGACAAAACAUCUAGCUUUAAGAUUUUGGGCAAAUACUGGCCGAUUUCAGUUGCCUGAUUCUAUUGGGAAGCUGAAGGAGUUGGAAGUGAUCAAGAUGAGCAGUUGCAACGCCCAUGAGUUACCAAGCUCCAUCGGAAACACGAAGAAGCUUGAAGAGUUGGAUGCUCCGAGUUCUCCGAAAGGAGAAAUCCCAAGGCAAAUUGGGGGAUUGUCCAGGUUGAGAGUAUUGGUGCUAUCGCACACCAAAAUAUGCAUGCUGCCCUCAACAAUAAGAAAGCUUUCUUUGCUCCAAACCCUCUGGAUGUGAUUCACUAAGAAGUUUAGGGCCUCAACUGCCAGUUAGUUUAAAGUACUUGGACAUAGUCUAUUGCGCGUCCCUCAGGAGAGUACACAAUGUAUCGCACUUGAGGAAUCUACGAACGUUAAUAAGAGUACAAGGCCGCAGAGAAGAGAUUCCAGGUCUUGAUGAGAAAGUCUGACAUUGUCCCAUGGGGUGAGCGAGUGUCCGACCCCCAUAUUCAGGAAUUAGUAGCAAUCAUCCAGAUCGUGACUCAUGAGGAGAGCAGAGUCUGCUAUCAUAAUGCCUGCAUGUCCCUCGCUGUUAGUGACUCCUCUCACACUCCGAUAUAGCAGGGCAGUGGACCGUUGGCCAUAGCUGGAGCCUGGAGUUAACCAUUCUAAAAUCCUGCAUUGGACAAGGCAUUGGCUCAGUGUAAUGAAGUCUGCUUCCUUUCUUCUUCAAUAAAUUCUACUUUUAUUGCCAAAAGAUGAUCGAGUCCUAAGUACUGUCCAUUACCGGUCGUGUGAACUUCGAAUUGGAACUUCAUCAUACAAUGGGGAUAGAAGAUUUCAAAGUUUGGAAAUGCAAAAUCUACUAUUAGAAAGUGAAACCAUAUAUUUAUAUUCCACAUCAAGGGUGCUGCUAAUUGUUGACAUCGACGAGGUACAUAUGUAUGCUGGUCAAUCUUUUCUAAACUGAAGGGUCCUUGAGAGUUGUAGCGAUUAACUUCAACUUCUCAGCUUCUGAAUUUUUUUUG